UUGCACAGAACCACAGUGGUGUAUCAGCAGCAAGAAGCAGCUGUAGUUCUUCAGGACAAGGAAUUCGCUACCCAACACUAUUUCACAGAUCUCUUCUGUUUCUAAAUCUAUUUUACAGCAGAGCAAACUGAGACACAAGAAAGUUAUCCACAGACAUUCACAAAGUUGCUGGCAGAAUUCACCUGAAGCCUGGGAAUCCUGAUGUCUGUCCCUGUAGUUAACCCAUGGCACCUCUGGUCAGUUAUCCUUUUGCUGAAUAUAGGAUUAUCCCAGGAGUAUUGAAUCUCUGUUGUGAUAAGGAUCAGCCCUGCAUAGAUCCUGAGAUCAUCUCUCCUGAGAUGGAACUGCAUGAAGACACAAUUUACUGCAAACUCUUGGCUUCUGAAACUGAAAGCAGGACCAGCGAGACAUCGGUUCUGUUAAUCUGAGAAUACUUUAAACACUUGGGGGAGAGUGGUGGCCCAAGAACCUCUGGAUCAUAACAUUCUGGUGGGAUUCCUUGGCUGGGAAAGCAGCACUUUCAACCAUCAGGGACUGUCAGCAUCUUUGGUCCCCUACACUGCUGAAGUUCCUGGUGCUCUGCCAGGCUUCCCUCCAUCUGUUGCUUGCAGAUCUUGCACUGGUCCCUCAUGGAACUGAUCAGCUUAAAUCCUGCCUGGCAAUUCUACUCAGUGAAGGGGAACAGUGAGUGAAAAAUCCUCAUUUCCCAACAGAAUUGGGAGAUAGGACACAAACACCUGUGGGACACCUAAGGCACAGACCUUGUGCCCCUGGGAAAAGAGAGAAGGGAGGGAGCAGCACUUGGCAUCUGGUGCCUCUGUGUCUGAGGGCAGCCUGACCCAGGUCAUCCUCCCCACCUUAGGCAUGAGAGGACCUGAUCCUGACCUAACUGGGACCCAGCUCUGCCAGGCUGAUGGGAGCUGGAGCCCCUCUUCCCCCCCUGUAAAAUACACACUUGCUCUAUAGGUGUCAUGGGGUAGCUGGUUUAAAACCACGACAAUAGGUCUGCCCCAUGUGUCACUGAUGUAUUUGGGAUGUACUUGUAAAAGUGCUUAAAUAAUUUUGGUUUAAAAAUUAAGUAAAUAAAAUCAAUAUGGCACAUAUUAAAGAAAAAUGCAUAGCAGCAGCAGACAGUACAUUUUAUAUGCUGACCCAAAUGCACAGACUGUCAGUUAAUGCUCUAACACUUGCAAUGUAUCAGUGUUUUCACUGAAAGGUGAGCAGCAUAUCCAAAAAUCUUAGAAAAAUUUAUAGUUCAGCAAGUUGCUUUCUGAAAAGCAGUUUGAAACCAAGCAUGCUUCAUGACCUUUAAGAAACACUUUUAAUGAAAGCAUUAAAAUGUUCAUAUAACUACUGAACAAUGAAAUACUGUAUUUAAUCCCAAUGGGUUUUUUAAAAUAUUGGCAUUUCAAUUAAUGUCUGACACACUAGUUAUCCAUUAGAAAAGGAUCAUGUAGAAAGAAUUCUAUGUUUAAUAUAACAUUAAACACUUUUGUCAAAUUAUAUCAGAAUUAUUGAAUGUUGGGUCCAAAGCGCACUGCAAGACCCCAGAAAUGAAUAACCAUCAUGUUAGGAAAUAAUCUAGAAAUAUGUUAAGUAUGUGAAAAGUAGUUUUAUAUUUUUGUUUUUCUUUUCAGUUUAGCAGUGGCCAGGUAAUGUUGCAAUAUUUGCAAACCAUCAGUCAUUUGCUUUAUAUACUUGGUUUGAGAAAAAGAAUAAUGACCUUUGUGAAUUUGUAAUAAUUGGAACUUUAAUAGUAUGACUUUCAGUUACAAAUGUUGAUUUUAUUUUUUUUUCUUUUAAUGCAGGAAUCAGGACAUCUAGAAUGUCUUUGGGGUGUAUGUAAAUUUUCCUGAUCAUUACAAAGUAACUUUUAAACUAUUUCACUGCAAUAUAAAGCCAUAAAUCCAUAGA